rnacentral:lncRNA from 1 species
CAGCGGACCCAGCACCGCCAGUGGUGCCGCUUUUGCUUCCGCACCUCCGCGCCGUCGGUUCCGCCAGCGGCGGCGCCGACAGCAGCGACCCCAGCUUACUCACUGACGGCAGUAAGAAUGACGGCAGCGGCGGCGGUUCCAAGAUCCGCCGCGGCGGCCAGCCUGCACGGACCCGUCGCCAUGAGCGCCGUCGCGCCGCGCGGGUGAGCGGCGCCGACGGCGGUGGUGGCGGCGGCGGCGGCGGCCGUCGCAGCAGCGGCGCUGAGUACGCCAGUGUUCACCAAGGCCAUGGUCGGGGCGCUGGCGGCGGCGGUGGUGGCGGUGGUGGUGGCGGCGGCGGCGGCGGCCGCGGCGGGCAGCAGCAGCACGGUCAGCACCAGCCUCAUGGGCCUAGUGGUCUUGGUGCUGGCCAGCACCGCAGCAGCGGGAGCGGCCGCCGCAGCCUGGACGAGCCACACCACCAGCAGCACCCGCCAGCGCCGCAGCAGCAGCAGCCACAUCACCAGCCGCCAGCGGCGAAUGAUCCGACGGUCAAUCCCUUCGCCGUGCUCGCAGGCACUGGUGGUGACAAAAGCGGCGGCAGCAGUCGCCGCGGCUCUGGCGGUGGGUUGCCGCCGCGGCCGCCGACGGCUGACGCCAGCGACAGCGACGGCAGUACCGGCGGUGGUGCUGGCGGCAACGGCGGCGGUGGUGGAUACGGCAGUCGUGCCAGCAGGGGCAGAGGUGGCAAUAAUAUCGCCAGGUGUCAGCUGCCGCCAAUCCAAUCAGGCGAGGUUUCGGAGGUGAGCGUGAUGGCGGCCUUGGCGGCGAUGGGGCUGUCAGCCAAGCCAGGCCUGCCGACGGCGCCGGAGGUGCCCGACGAGACCGGCGGCGGCGGGGGUGGCGGUGGCAAUGGUGUUAGCGGCGCCGCUGCCGCCGCACCCCCUAAUGAAGCUGCGGCUGCAGGCAGUGAUGAUGACGGCGAGGAUGAUGAUGUAGCGGCAGCCGCAGCCGGCGGCGGUGCUCCAGCUGCUGCCGCCGGCGAAGAAGCCCCGAAGAAGCGGAAAACCCGCCGUGGCCGCCGCGGCCGCGGCAGCCGGCGGCAGUCGAAUGCGACGGCGGACGAGGCGAUGACCGCAGCAGUCGUGGCCGCUGCCACCGCUGGUGCAACUGCUAGCGAUGCAGGGAGCGGUGGUAACGGUGGCGGUGGCGCCAUCACAGCGGCCGUUCCUACAGCGGACCCAGCGCCGCCAGUGGUGCCGCUUUUGCUUCCGCACCUCCGCGCCGUCGGUUCCGCCAGCGGCGGCGCCGACAGCAGCGACCCCAGCUUACUCACUGACGGCAGUGAGAGUGAUGGCAGCGGCGGCGGUUCCAAGAUCCGCCGCGGCGGCCAGCCUGCACGGACCCGUCGCCAUGAGCGCCGUCGCGCCGCGCGGGUGAGCGGCGCCGACGGCGGUGGUGGCGGCGGCGGCGGCGGCCGUCGCAGCAGCGGCGCUGAGUACGCCAGUGUUCACCAAGGCCAUGGUCGGGGCGCUGGCGGCGGCGGUGGUGGUGGUGGCGGCGGCGGCGGCGGCGCUGGCGGUCAUUACCACGUGUACGGUGGUGGCCAUCACGGCCAUGCUGAUGAUGCCGCCAGCUCGACAAAUGCGUUAGGGUGCAGAGGUUCGUUAGUACUUCCCCCCCUGGAGGAGCUGCUCGAAUAAGUCAACUGUGCGCAGCAAGGUCAGCCGAUUCUCCCUACUAAUAAGGUGGCGAACAACGCGCCUUGGCACUGCUAAACCGUCUUGCCUUCGAAUAAUAAAAUCUCGUGUCCUGCGGGCGACCUCCCGAAUUCAUAUGCAGAGGUGUCCGCAGCACACCAGGAUAGCCGACACCUGCCCACUCAUGCGAGCCGGACAGAGCCGCACUGGCGCAUUUAGCUGCCUGGGGCCCUCAUGUUCCCCCGCACUCCGCAUCCCGUAGGC